rnacentral:rRNA from 1 species
GACGAACGCUGGCGGCGUGCCUAACACAUGCAAGUCGAGCGGGAAGUCAGAAAAUGAAGCUUCGGCAGAUUUUUCUGAUGGAGAGCGGCGGACGGGUGAGUAACGCGUGAGUAACCUGCCCAUAAGAGGGGGAUAACAACCGGAAACGGUUGCUAAUACCGCAUAUUAUGUUUUUGUCGCAUGACGUUAACAUGAAAGAUUUAUCGCUUAUGGAUGGACUCGCGUCCAAUUAGCUAGUAGGCGGGGUAACGGCCCACCUAGGCUACGACGGGUACCCGGCCUCAGAGGGCGGACGGGCGCAUUGGGACUGAGAUACGGCCCAAACUCCUACGGGAGGCAGCAGUGGGGAAUAUUGCACAAUGGGGGAAACCCUGAUGCAGCGACGCCGCGUGAGCGAAGAAGUAUUUCGGAUGUAAAGCUCUAUCAGCAGGGAAGAUAAUGACGGUACCUGACUAAGAAGCUCCGGCUAAAUACGUGCCAGCAGCC